AGUGAACGCUGGCGGUAGGCCUAACACAUGCAAGUCGAACGGCAGCACAGUAAGAGCUUGCUCUUACGGGUGGCGAGUGGCGGACGGGUGAGGAAUACAUCGGAAUCUACUUUUUCGUGGGGGCUAACGUAGGGAAACUUACGCUAAUACCGCAUACGACCUACGGGUGAAAGCAGGGGAUCUUCGGACCUUGCGCGAUUGAACGAGCCGAUGUCGGAUUAGCUAGUUGGCGGGGUAAAGGCCCACCAAGGCGACGAUCCGUAGCUGGUCUGAGAGGAUGAUCAGCCACACUGGAACUGAGACACGGUCCAGACUCCUACGGGAGGCAGCAGUGGGGAAUAUUGGACAAUGGGCGCAAGCCUGAUCCAGCCAUACCGCGUGGGUGAAGAAGGCCUUCGGGUUGUAAAGCCCUUUUGUUGGGAAAGAAAAGCAGCAGGUUAAUACCCCGCUGUCCUGACGGUACCCAAAGAAUAAGCACCGGCUAACUUCGUG
rnacentral:rRNA from 1 species